UUUAAAUGGCCGCAGUAUAUUAACUGUGCAAAGGUAGCAUAAUCAUUAGUCUUUUAAUUGGAGGCUGGUAUGAAUGGUUGGACGAAAUAUUAACUGUUUCAUAUAAAUUUUUAUUAAAAUUUUAUUUUUUAGUCAAAAAGCUAAAAUUUAUUUAAAAGACGAGAAGACCCUAUAAAUCUUUAUAUUAAUAUUAUUAAAAUUUUAUAGAUUUCUUUUUUAUUUUAUUAAUUUAUAAUAUUUUAUUGGGGUGAUAUUAAAAUUUAAUAAACUUUUAAUUUAUUAAAUCAUUAUUUUAUGAUUAAAUGAUCCGUUAUUAACGAUUAAAAAUUUAAGUUACUUUAGGGAUAACAGCGUAAUUUUUUUGGAGAGUUCUUAUCGAUAAAAAAGAUUGCGACCUCGAUGUUGGAUUAAGAUAAGUUUUAGGUGUAGUUGCUUAAAUUUUAAGUCUGUUCGACUUUUAAUUUCUUAC
rnacentral:rRNA from 2 species